rnacentral:rRNA from 1 species
UACGAAGGGGGCUAGCGUUGUUCGGAAUUACUGGGCGUAAAGCGCGCGCAGGCGGCUAUCCAAGUCAGUGGUGAAAGCCCGGAGCUCAACUCCGGAACUGCCAUUGAAACUGUUUAGCUUGAGGACGAGAGAGGUGAGUGGAUUUCCCAGUGUAGAGGUGAAAUUCGUAGAUAUUGGGAAGAACACCGGUGGCGAAGGCGGCUCACUGGCUCGUUUCUGACGCUCAGGCGCGACAGCGUGGGGAUCAAACAGG